rnacentral:rRNA from 1 species
UACGUAGGGGGCAAGCGUUGUCCGGAAUCAUUGGGCGUAAAGCGCGUGUAGGCGGUUCGGUAAGUCGGCUGUGAAAGUCCAGGGCUCAACCCUGGGAUGCCGGUCGAUACUGCCGGACUAGAGUUCGGAAGAGGCGAGUGGAAUUCCCGGUGUAGCGGUGAAAUGCGCAGAUAUCGGGGAGGAACACCAAUGGCGAAGGCAGCUCGCUGGGGACGUUACUGACGCUG